rnacentral:rRNA from 1 species
UACAGAGGUCCCCAGCGUUGUUCGGAUUCACUGGGCGUAAAGGGUGCGUAGGCGGUCGGGUAAGUCUGACGUGAAAUCUUCAAGCUUAACUUGGAAACUGCGUCGGAUACUAUUCGGCUGGAGGAAUGGAGGGGAGACUGGAAUACUUGGUGUAGCAGUGAAAUGCGUAGAUAUCAAGUGGAACACCAGUGGCGAAGGCGAGUCUCUGGACAUUUCCUGACGCUGAGGCACGAAAGCCAGGGGAGCAAACGGG